UACGUAGGGUGCAAGCGUUAAUCGGAAUUACUGGGCGUAAAGCGUGCGCAGGCGGUUUUGUAAGUCUGAUGUGAAAUCCCCGGGCUCAACCUGGGAAUUGCAUUGGAGACUGCAAGGCUAGAAUCUGGCAGAGGGGGGUAGAAUUCCACGUGUAGCAGUGAAAUGCGUAGAUAUCAAGUGGAACACCAGUGGCGAAGGCGAGUCUCUGGACAUUUCCU
rnacentral:rRNA from 1 species